GCACCUGGUCGCAGAACUGUAUGCUGCGCCCAGUGUCCCGCCGCCUCCCUGCGGAAGAAAUAGUUCCCGAAACCGCCCAGGGCCACCUCCCAGGCCCGACUUCCGAGAGGAUCCAUGCCUCCCGUAACCCGGCCCGGAGCCCCGAGGGAGGGGCAUAGCCGGGCGGCUCUUCCUGAGAGCGUCCAGCCCAAUCAGAGAGGGUGGCCGGCAGACACAGGGCCACGUUUCUGGAUCCCGGAGCGAGAUGGCGUGAGGACAGGGGCGUCGCCGCGAGGCGCCUCCCCUCGGGGUAGGCUCCAAGCCUGGACCCCCUCCUCCGAGCCCCUGCUUUGUCUGGCAGGCGCCCGAGAUAACCAAAACAACACCCAAGUUUUCAGCAAUGAAGGAGGGGGCUGGAGCGACGAGCGGCGGUAACGUUAAGGGGCGCGGAGACCAGGCCCGAAGCCCGGGACGUGUGUGGAGCGCUCCAUCGCAGAACUCAGCGGGAGCAGGGUCGAACCACUCCGACAUGGCGCCUCUCGGCCGGCCUUCUCCCCAGACCCUGCUGCGUUCAGGGAACGGCCGAUGGAGCGCCGGGCUCCCUCCCUGAACUACCCUUCAUGAAGCCAAGCUGACUAGAGUUCUGACUUCUCAAGCCCUCCGGCGCAUCUCCUGAGAAAGUUCCAGGAAGGACCCUCUGCAGGGAAACUGAGGUCCUGCUGUGAGGCGCCCUUGAAGCUGGAGCAGCGCUGCACCUCGGGAUCUGCGUUUACAUCCUCCCGGAAGUGCUGGGCCUCUGCCUGUUGCUCCCGUUCCCGCCUGGAGAGC